UACGUAGGUCCCGAGCGUUGUCCGGAUUUAUUGGGCGUAAAGCGAGCGCAGGUGGUCUUUUAAGUCUGAUGUGAAAGCCUUCGGCUUAACCGGAGUAGUGCAUUGGAAACUGGGAGACUUGAGUGCAGAAGAGGAGAGUGGAACCCCAUGUGUAGCGGUGAAAUGCGUAGAUAUAUGGAAGAACACCAGUGGCGAAAGCGGCUCUCUGGUCUGUAACUGACGCUGAGGUUCGAAAGCGUGGGUAGCAAACAGG
rnacentral:rRNA from 1 species